AUUGAACGCUGGCGGCAUGCUUUACACAUGCAAGUCGAACGGCAGCGCGGGCUUCGGCCUGGCUGCGAGUGGCGAACGGGUGAGUAAUGCAUCGGAACGUGCCCAGUAGUUGGGGAUAGCCCGGCGAAAGCCGUAUUAAUACCGCAUACGACCUGCGGGUGACAUCCGGGGACCCAAAGCCCUCGCGCUCUUUGACCGGCCGAUGUCGGAUUAGCUAGUUGGUGGGGUAAAGGCUUACCAAGGCGACCAUCCGUAGCUCGUCUGAGAGGACGACCAGCCAGAGUGGGACUGAGACACGGACCAGAGGCCUAGGGGAGGCAGCAGUGGGGAAGUUUGGAAAAUGGGGGCAAGCAUGAUCCAGCGAUGCCGCGUGAGGGAAGAAGGCCUAGGGGUUGGAAAGCGUUUUUGUGCGGGAAGAAAGCCUAGGGGAUAAUACCGGGGGGGGAUGACGGUACCGGAAGAAUAAGCACCGGCUAACUACGUG
rnacentral:rRNA from 1 species